GAUGAACGCUGGCGGCGUGCCUAAUACAUGCAAGUCGAGCGAAUGGAUUAAGAGCUUGCUCUUAUGAAGUUAGCGGCGGACGGGUGAGUAACACGUGGGUAACCUGCCCAUAAGACUGGGAUAACUCCGGGAAACCGGGGCUAAUACCGGAUAACAUUUUGAACCGCAUGGUUCGAAAUUGAAAGGCGGCUUCGGCUGUCACUUAUGGAUGGACCCGCGUCGCAUUAGCUAGUUGGUGAGGUAACGGCUCACCCAGGCAACGCUGCGUAGCCGACCUGAGAGGGUGAUCGGCCACACUGGGACGGAGACACGGCCAGGACUCCUACGGGAGGCAGCAGUAGGGAAUCUUCCGCAAUGGACGAAAGUCUGACGGAGCAACGCCACGUGAGUGAUGAAGGCUUUCGGGUCGUAAAACUCUGUUGUUAGGGAAGAACAAGUGCUAGUUGAAUAAGCUGGCACCUUGACGGUACCUAACCAGAAAGCCACGGCUAACUACGUGCCAGCCGCCGCAGUAA
rnacentral:rRNA from 1 species